AGAGUUUGAUCCUGGCUCAGGAUGAACGCUGGCGGCGUGCUUAACACAUGCAAGUCGAACGGAGCUAUUAUGAAGGAGUUUUCGGACAACGGAGUAAUAUGCUUAGUGGCGGACGGGUGAGUAACGCGUGAGUAGCCUGCCUUGGAGUGGGGAAUAACGUUCCGAAAGGGACGCUAAUACCGCAUGAAGCAUCGGGAUCGCAUGGUACUGAUGCCAAAGAUUUAUCGCUCUUAGAUGGACUCGCGUCUGAUUAGCUAGUUGGUGAGGUAGUGGCUCACCAAGGCGACGAUCAGUAGCCGGACUGAGAGGUUGGCCGGCCACAUUGGGACUGAGAUACGGCCCAGACUCCUACGGGAGGCAGCAGUGGGGAAUAUUGGGCAAUGCGGCGCAGCCUGACAGCACGCCGCGUGAGGAAGAAGGCUUUCGGGUUGUAAACUUCUUUUGUCAGGGACGAAGCAAGUGACGGUACCUGACGAAUAAGCCACGGCUAACUACGUGCCAGCAGCCGCGGUAAUACGUAGGUGGCAAGCGUUAUCCGGAUUUACUGGGUGUAAAGGGCGUGUAGGCGGGAAAGCAAGUCAGAUGUGAAAUUCCAGGGCUCAACCCUGGACCUGCAUUUGAAACUGUUUUUCUUGAGUGAUGGAGAGGCAAGCGGAAUUCCGAGUGUAGCGGUGAAAUGCGUAGAUAUUCGGAGGAACACCAGUGGCGAAGGCGGCUUGCUGGACAUUAACUGACGCUGAGGCGCGAAAGCGUGGGGAGCAAACAGGAUUAGAUACCCUGGUAGUCCACGCUGUAAACGAUGGAUACUAGGUGUGGGGGGUCUGACCCCUUCCGUGCCGCAGUUAACACAGUAAGUAUCCCACCUGGGGAGUACGAUCGCAAGGUUGAAACUCAAAGGAAUUGACGGGGGCCCGCACAAGCGGUGGAGUAUGUGGUUUAAUUCGAAGCAACGCGAAGAACCUUACCAGGGCUUGACAUCCUACUAACGAAGCAGAGAUGCAUUAGGUGCCCUUCGGGGAAAGUAGAGACAGGUGGUGCAUGGUUGUCGUCAGCUCGUGUCGUGAGAUGUUGGGUUAAGUCCCGCAACGAGCGCAACCCUUAUUGCUAGUUGCUACGCAAGAGCACUCUAGCGAGACUGCCGUUGACAAAACGGAGGAAGGUGGGGACGACGUCAAAUCAUCAUGCCCCUUAUGUCCUGGGCUACACACGUACUACAAUGGCGGCGAACAGAGGGAAGCAAGACCGCGAGGUGGAGCAAAUCCCUAAAAGCCGUCCCAGUUCGGAUUGCAGGCUGAAACCCGCCUGCAUGAAGUUGGAAUCGCUAGUAAUCGCGGAUCAGCAUGCCGCGGUGAAUACGUUCCCGGGCCUUGUACACACCGCCCGUCACACCAUGAGAGUCGGGAACACCCGAAGUCCGUAGCCUAACCGCAAGGGGGGCGCGGCCGAAGGUGGGUUCGAUAAUUGGGGUGAAGUCGUAACAAGGUAACCGUA
rnacentral:rRNA from 1 species